rnacentral:lncRNA from 1 species
ACUCUGGCAACUGAGUAUGCAAGCGUGUCUCUGCCGAGCUCAAUCAGGCUCUCACAGGGUGUAGUCAAUGCAAAUGGGUCUAACUAUUAUAACAACCAAAGCUCACGUGCUCUUGGCACAAUCUUAUGCAAAUUUGGGUCCACCGUCAACCACGACGGCAACUGACAGUAUAGAACAGUCUACACACUACUGUAAAACAAGCUCAGCCCCUCAGCACGAGCGUAAACUCACCCUACACUAAUU